UACGGAGGAUCCGAGCGUUAUCCGGAUUUAUUGGGUUUAAAGGGUGCGUAGGCGGCUUUUUAAGUCAGCGGUGAAAUUUUGCAGCUCAACUGUAAAAGUGCCUUCGAUACUGGUUUCCUUGAGUGUGGAUGAAGUAGGCGGAAUUUGUGGUGUAUCGGUGAAAUGCUUAGAUAUCACGAGGAACUCCGAUUGCGCAGGCAGCUUACUAAACUACUACUGACGCUCAGGCACGAAGGCGUGGGGAUCAAACAGGAUUAGAUACCCGGGUAGUCCCU
rnacentral:rRNA from 1 species